rnacentral:rRNA from 1 species
GUACCGUGAGGAAAGGUGAAAAGCACCCCGAAGGGGAGUGAAUAGACCUGAAACCGUGUGCAUACAUUCUGUUGGAGGGGGCGCUUGCGCUCCUGACAGCGUGCCUUUUGCUUAAUGAGCCAGCGAGUUGCUCGUGUACGGCGAGGUUAAGGUCUUCAGGACCGGAGCCGAAGCGAAAGCGAGUCUUAACUGGGCGACCAGUCGUACACGGCAGACACGAAGCCUUAGUGAUCUACCCAUGGCCAGGUUGAAGCGGAAGUAACAUUCCGUGGAGGACCGAACCGAUAUGCAUUGAAACGCGUCCGGAUGAGCUGUGGGUAGGGGUGAAAGGCCAAUCAAACUGGGCGAUAGCUUGUUCUCUCCGAAAUAUAUUUAGGUAUAGCGUCAUGUUAGUUUCACGGGGGUAGAGCACUGGAUGGACUAGGGGGCGUACCUGCUUACCAAACCCAACCAAACUCCGAAUACCGUGUAAAUGAUGCAUGGCAGACAGCCCGCGGGUGAUAAGAUCAGCGGACGAAAGGG